rnacentral:RNase_P_RNA from 2 species
CCAGUCGGCCGGACGGCCGCUCCCGUUCGCGGGGGAGGAAAGUCCGGGCUCCACGGAAACACGGUGCCGGAUAACGUCCGGCGGGGGCGACCCCAGGGAAAGCGCCACAGAGAUCGAACCGCCUCGCGCUUCGGCGCGGGGUAAGGGUGAAAAGGUGCGGUAAGAGCGCACCGCGGACCCGGCAACGGGGACGGCAUGGCAAGCCCCACCGGGAGCAAAACCGAAUAGGGACGAUGCCUCUCCCGCAAGGGCGAGGGGGCCGGUUUCCAGGCCUGGUCGUCCGGGUUGGUUGCUCGAGGCGCACAGCAAUGUGCGUCCCAGAGGAAUGGCCGUCACGUCGGCGUAGCAAUGCGCCGGCCAUCCAGAACCCGGCUUACAGGCCGGCUGGCACC